UGCAGUCGACGAUGAUGCCCAGCUUGCUGGGUGGAUUAGUGGCGAACGGSUGAGUAACACGUGAGUAACCUGCCCCUGACUCUGGGAUAAGCGUUGGAAACGACGUCUAAUACUGGAUAUGACUACCGGCCGCAUGGUCUGGUGGUGGAAAGAUUUUUUGGUUGGGGAUGGACUCGCGGCCUAUCAGCUUGUUGGUGAGGUAAUGGCUCACCAAGGCGACGACGGGUAGCCGGCCUGAGAGGGUGACCGGCCACACUGGGACUGAGACACGGCCCAAACUCCUACGGGAGGCAGCAGUGGGGAAUAUUGCACAAUGGGCGAAAGCCUGAUGCAGCAACGCCGCGUGAGGGAUGACGGCCUUCGGGUUGUAAACCUCUUUUAGUAGGGAAGAAGCGAAAGUGACGGUWCCUGCAGAAAAAGCACCGGCUAACUACGUGCCAGCAGCCGCGGUAAUACGUAGGGUGCAAGCGUUGUCCGGAAUUAUUGGGCGUAAAGAGCUCGUAGGCGGUUUGUCGCGUCUGCUGUGAAAUCCCGAGGCUCAACCUCGGGCUUGCAGUGGGUACGGGCAGACUAGAGUGCGGUAGGGGAGAUUGGAAUUCCUGGUGUAGCGGUGGAAUGCGCAGAUAUCAGGAGGAACACCGAUGGCGAAGGCAGAUCUCUGGGCCGUAACUGACGCUGAGGAGCGAAAGCAUGGGGAGCGAACAGGAUUAGAUACCCUGGUAGUCCAUSCCGUAAACGUUGGGCGAUAGAWGUAGGGACCUUUCCACGGUUUCUGUGUCGUAGCUAACGCAUUAAGCGCCCCGCCUGGGGAGUACGGCCGCAAGGCUAAAACUCAAAGGAAUUGACGGGGGCCCGCACAAGCGGCGGAGCAUGCGGAUUAAUUMGAUGCAACGCGAAGAWCCUUACCAAGGCUUGACAUACACCGAAACGGCCAGAGAU
rnacentral:rRNA from 2 species